rnacentral:rRNA from 1 species
AUUGAACGCUGGCGGAAUGCUUUACACAUGCAAGUCGAACGGUAGAGGGGGCAACCCCUCGAGAGUGGCGAACGGGUGAGUAAUAUAUCGGAACGUGCCCAGUCGUGGGGGAUAACGUAGCGAAAGUUACGCUAAUACCGCAUACGAUCUAAGGAUGAAAGCGGGGAACCGUAAGGCCUCGCGCGAUUGGAGCGGCCGAUAUCAGAUUAGGUAGUUGGUGAGGUAAAGGCUCACCAAGCCAACGAUCUGUAGCUGGUCUGAGAGGACGACCAGCCACACUGGAACUGAGACACGGUCCAGACUCCUACGGGAGGCAGCAGUGGGGAAUUUUGGACAAUGGACGAAAGUCUGAUCCAGCCAUUCCGCGUGCAGGAUGAAGGCCCUCGGGUUGUAAACUGCUUUUGUACGGAACGAAAAGGUCUCUCCUAAUACGAGGGGCUCAUGACGGUACCGUAAGAAUAAGCACCGGCUAACUACGUGCCAGCAGCCGCAGUAA